AGAAUGUGAUAGUAAGACCCUAAUGCUAAACAGUCCAAAAGCAUGAGGUGCAGACUAUAGUGAAAACAAACUGGAUGGAAAUUUGUUCUCAGACUCACUCAGAUGCAAGGAGACCAGGGAGCAAGGUUCAUGAGAUGGCUCAGUGGAUAAAGGUACCUGCAGCCAAGACAGAUGACAAGAGUUUGAUCCCUGUGAC